rnacentral:rRNA from 1 species
CUACGGGUUGCAGCAGUGGGGAAUAUUGCACAAUGGGCGCAAGCCUGAUGCAGCCACGCCGCGUGUAUGAAGAAGGCCUUCGGGUUGUAAAGUACUUUCAGCGGGGAGGAAGGGAGUAAAGUUAAUACCUUUGCUCAUUGACGUUACCCGCAGAAGAAGCACCGGCUAACUCCGUGCCAGCAGCCGCGGUAAUACGGAGGGUGCAAGCGUUAAUCGGAAUUACUGGGCGUAAAGCGCACGCAGGCGGUUUGUUAAGUCAGAUGUGAAAUCCCCGGGCUCAACCUGGGAACUGCAUCUGAUACUGGCAAGCUUGAGUCUCGUAGAGGGGGGUAGAAUUCCAGGUGUAGCGGUGAAAUGCGUAGAGAUCUGGAGGAAUACCGGUGGCGAAGGCGGCCCCCUGGACGAAGACUGACGCUCAGGUGCGAAGCGUGGGGAGCAAACAGGAUUAGAUACCCUCGUAGUC